rnacentral:rRNA from 1 species
GACGAACGCUGGCGGCGUGCUUAACACAUGCGAGUCGAACGGAAAGGCCCUGCUUUUGUGGGGUGCUCGAGUGGCGAACGGGUGAGUAACACGUGAGUAACCUGCCCUUGACUUUGGGAUAACUUCAGGAAACUGGGGCUAAUAUCGGAUAGGAGCUCCUGCUGCAUGGUGGGGGUUGGAAAGUUUCGGCGGUUGGGGAUGGACUCGCGGCUUAUCAGCUUGUUGGUGGGGUAGUGGCUUACCAAGGCUUUGACGGGUAGCCGGCCUGAGAGGGUGACCGGCCACAUUGGGACUGAGAUACGGCCCAGACUCCUACGGGAGGCAGCAGUGGGGAAUAUUGCACAAUGGGCGGAAGCCUGAUGCAGCAACGCCGCGUGCGGGAUGACGGCCUUCGGGUUGUAAACCGCUUUCGCCUGUGACGAAGCGUGAGUGACGGUAAUGGGUAAAGAAGCACCGGCUAACUACGUG